CUGAAGAUCAGGAUCAGGCACGAAUGUUUGCCAGCCAUUGCAAUGGCUGAAUUUACUCUUUCUUCUGUCUGAGUGGAAGGCAUAGGGAAAACAUGGGCUGUUAAUGCAAUAUAUCUCUAAGCAACUGUAGGAGCUAUGCCUUGCUAGCUACCUAUACAACACCCCACUUCCAAAUGAUCUGGUUAUGGCAUACGGUGAUUUCUGCAAAGGAAGCAAUUUGGCAGGAACCAGCCCUGCGGGAAGGAGGGAACUCAACUGGAGCAUCCUUAUCAUCUUCUGUUAUGUUUUGACCACAGGUUGUCAGCAAAUAGCCUUUGGAGUUUAAUUACAUGAUCAAGAUUGCUGCGGAGCAUGGAAGAUGAAAGAACGAAUAGAACACAUAAUGCUAUUUACAUGAGUGGCACCUAUGGAGGAGCAGAUAUUUGGAGUUACAACAGAACAAUUGCCUUCGAAGUUGUUCUUUCAUUCUUCACUGCUAGUGCACUCUGCAGUCUCAGAGGCUGGGUCAAUGAAGGGGCACACAGUAUAUCUUCAGAAGAGAUCAAUUGCAAUC
rnacentral:lncRNA from 1 species